AUUGACCGCUGGCGGCAGGCCUAACACAUGCAAGUCGAGCGGAGCGGCGGACGGGCGAGUAAUUCCUAGGUCUCUGCCUGGUAGUGGGGGAUAACGUCCGGAAACGGGCGCUAAUAACUCCUACUAUCCGUUGAGCCUAGGUCGGAUUAGCUAGUUGGUGGGUUAAAGGCCUACCAAGGCGAAGAUCCGUAACUGGUCUGAGAGGAUGAUAAGUCACACUGGAACUGAGACACGGUCCAGACUCCUACGGGAGGCAGCAGUGGGGAAGAUUGGACAAUGGGCGAAAGCCUGAUCCAGCCAUGCCGCGUGUGUGAAGAAGGUCUUCGGAUUGUAAAGCACUUUAAGUUGGGAGGCGUUACCAACAGAAUAAGCACCGGCUAACUUCGUGCCAGCAGCCGCGGUAAUUC
rnacentral:rRNA from 1 species